rnacentral:lncRNA from 1 species
AGAGCGCCGAGCGCAUCGAAUAAAACUCGGAGCCUGCUGAGCGCGGGAGCUGGCACUUAUUUAUUGAGAAUUUGCUAUGUCCCAGCCUUGCCCUAGAAGCUUACAAACAUUAUUUCACUUAAUCCUCACUGUAUUCCUGUCGCAUUUUGCAGAAGAGAACCAGGCUGAGAGAAGUUAAGUGACGUGCCCAAGGAUACACAGCGCUCUUCAAGGGUACCCGAAGCGAAUUUGCACCAAAGCAGCAGCUGCGUUGCUGCAGUUCUAUCUUCACCUUCACGAUGUUUCUCUUGGUCAAAAACACACUCAAGUCGUCUCCAAGUUCGAAGCAUUCAGCAAACAAUGGCAAGGCAGAGCCACCAGAAAGGACAUGUUUUUGACAUGCCUCUAUAAUUGGAUUUUCAGAGUGGCCCACAACUCCUAAGUAGUAAAGAAUCACUACCUAUUUCUUAUCAAUUUUGUCCCUGGAUCAAGCCAGACAUCAGAGAGGGUGUGGCUGUCAGAGGAGGACUGCUGGAUUGUGCCACGUGGAGCCAGGCAGAAGCCAUACACAGCUGGUUGCUACAGCAAGUGGAGCAGACCAAGUGUCCGGCUGCAGAAGAGGUGUCUAAUAGAAGGAGACAGCAGUGAGCAAAGCAGAGUGUGCCUCUGACCUCACGAAGCAGACACCCUAGUUGGGGGUGUGUGCUGGGAGUUUCCAAGACCACUCCCAGGUUCAAUGAUUCAUUAGGAGGACUCACAGGACUCAGUACGGCAGUGGUGCUCAUCACUAUGAUUUGUUAUGGUGAAAGGAUGCCAAACUAGAUCAGCAAAAGGAAAAGGCAUAUGGAGCGAAGUCCAGAGGAAACCAAGUUUGUAGCACUGAUGUCAAGAAAAGCCUUAGUCAUCCUCAGAGAGCUUGAUGAAGGACCUGAGUGGAAGUUAGCUGUGACAAAGCUUGGAGGCUUUGCUGUUGGGACAAAGACACACAGUAGUACAGACUCUUUGAAGAUGUCAAGUGGCCAGAAGCGAGUAGGUUACUUCCACAGUAUACCUAGAGGAAAUGCAUGUGCAGAAAUAGCAGGAGAUAAGGCCAGAGCAGUCAUUUGGAACUGGAUCCAUGGAACAUGGAUCAUGGAAGACCUCAAUGCCAAGCUGAUGUGUUUGGACAAGAUCCUGCAGGGCUUCCAGUGGUGGUGUUGAGACCCUGCAAGACUGUUACCUUCCAAAUCCAGUCCGUGUAUUCUUAUAGAUUCCCCAGCUAUCUUGCCUCCUCCCCUAGAAAGUGUUCCAAGACCCUUUUAGCUCUUCAAGCUCUCAUUGUAAUAUCUGUUCCACUUUUGGGCUCAUAUCACUUUCUUACCUUGACUUUGAAUUAAUGGACUUGCCUUCUCUGUCCUACCAGACCAUGAGCUUUUUGAGGGCUAGGAAACACUUCAUCUUCUGACACAUAGUGAAUACUCAAAACAUGUUGGUUAAGUGAUCUAAUUCAUGUGAACCACUGGGACUUAUAAAUCUUCAGAGGGGAAAAAAAAGAUUAGUGCCAGUUCAUGGUGAUUUUAGUUGGAAGUGUACUUCAUUGUAUGGGUCCUUUGAAGAGAGGUAAUUCAAGUAGGCUACAGAGUCGGGAAUUUUUAAUUGUAGUGGCAAUCUGGGAUCCACAGGGAGAAAAUAAUUCAUCAAGCAUCAGUUAUAAAAGAAACAUUGAAAGUUUGACAAGGAAUUAGAGAAUAAUGUGUAAAAUGUCCAUCUCUUUUGCAUUCCAAGUUAGAGGUGGGGACGAUAUGUUCUGAUGGGAGAGAAGAAUUGGGAUUUGGGAUCAGACAUUCAUGAGCUUGCAUCCUGUUCCUACACAUUUUUGGCUGUGUGACUUUACACAGGUCACUCAAUUUGAGUUUCAAUGGCACAGACUUUGAAUCUAGACUACUUGAAUUUGAAUUCUGACUCUGCAAAAUACAUAAUGGUGUGACUUUGGGCAAAUUACUUGUGCCUCGAUAUUUUGCUUUUGUGAAAUAGGGGUAGUAAUAGUACCUGGAUUUAGAGUUAUUGAGAGGAUUAAACAUAUUAAUACUCGUGAAAGUGCUUUGAAAAGUGUCUGAAACACAGUAAAUAUGUAGGUUAGGUUAUUAUUAUAAUGAUAAAUAUUGUUAUUUUGCCUUGUGGG